rnacentral:ribozyme from 1 species
CCGGCGCACCCCGACGCCGGGCCGGUAAUGCGGCAAGCCAGUUGCAAGCCUGGCGGCGGACGCAGAGCAACGG